UGCAGUCGAGCGGAAACGAGUUAUCAGAACCUUCGGGGGACGAUAACGGCGUCGAGCGGCGGACGGGUGAGUAAUGCCUAGGAAAUUGCCCUGAUGUGGGGGAUAACCAUUGGAAACGAUGGCUAAUACCGCAUGAUGCCUACGGGCCAAAGAGGGGGACCUUCGGGCCUCUCGCGUCAGGAUAUGCCUAGGUGGGAUUAGCUAGUUGGUGAGGUAAGGGCUCACCAAGGCGACGAUCCCUAGCUGGUCUGAGAGGAUGAUCAGCCACACUGGAACUGAGACACGGUCCAGACUCCUACGGGAGGCAGCAGUGGGGAAUAUUGCACAAUGGGCGCAAGCCUGAUGCAGCCAUGCCGCGUGUGUGAAGAAGGCCUUCGGGUUGUAAAGCACUUUCAGUCGUGAGGAAGGUGGUGUAGUUAAUAGCUGCAUUAUUUGACGUUAGCGACAGAAGAAGCACCGGCUAACUCCGUGCCAGCAGCCGCGGUAAUACGGAGGGUGCGAGCGUUAAUCGGAAUUACUGGGCGUAAAGCGCAUGCAGGUGGUUUGUUAAGUCAGAUGUGAAAGCCCGGGGCUCAACCUCGGAAUUGCAUUUGAAACUGGCAGACUAGAGUACUGUAGAGGGGGGUAGAAUUUCAGGUGUAGCGGUGAAAUGCGUAGAGAUCUGAAGGAAUACCGGUGGCGAAGGCGGCCCCCUGGACAGAUACUGACACUCAGAUGCGAAAGCGUGGGGAGCAAACAGGAUUAGAUACCCUGGUAGUCCACGCCGUAAACGAUGUCUACUUGGAGGUUGUGGCCUUGAGCCGUGGCUUUCGGAGCUAACGCGUUAAGUAGACCGCCUGGGGAGUACGGUCGCAAGAUUAAAACUCAAAUGAAUUGACGGGGGCCCGCACAAGCGGUGGAGCAUGUGGUUUAAUUCGAUGCAACGCGAAGAACCUUACCUACUCUUGACAUCCAGAGAACUUUCCAGAGAUGGAUUGGUGCCUUCGGGAACUCUGAGACAGGUGCUGCAUGGCUGUCGUCAGCUCGUGUUGUGAAAUGUUGGGUUAAGUCCCGCAACGAGCGCAACCCUUAUCCUUGUUUGCCAGCGAGUAAUGUCGGGAACUCCAGGGAGACUGCCGGUGAUAAACCGGAGGAAGGUGGGGACGACGUCAAGUCAUCAUGGCCCUUACGAGUAGGGCUACACACGUGCUACAAUGGCGCAUACAGAGGGCGGCCAACUUGCGAAAGUGAGCGAAUCCCAAAAAGUGCGUCGUAGUCCGGAUUGGAGUCUGCAACUCGACUCCAUGAAGUCGGAAUCGCUAGUAAUCGUGGAUCAGAAUGCCACGGUGAAUACGUUCCCGGGCCUUGUACACACCGCCCGUCACACCAUGGGAGUGGGCUGCAAAAGAAGUAGGUAGUUUAACCUUCGGGGGGACGC
rnacentral:rRNA from 1 species